GACGAACGCUGGCGGCGUGCUUAACACAUGCAAGUCGAACGGAUAGUCCUUGCUUUUGUGGGGUGCUCGAGUGGCUAACGGGUGAGUAAUACGUGUUUCACCUUCCCUUGACUUUGGGAUAACUUCCUGAAACUGGUGUUAAUACCGGAUAGGUGCUCCUGCUGCUUGGUUGUGGUUGUAAAGUUUCGUCGGUUGGGGAUGGACUCGUGGCUUAUGAGCUUGUUGGUGGGGCAGUGGCUGACAAAGGCUUUGAAGGGUAUCCUGCCUGAGAGGGUGACCGGCUAGAUUGGGACUGAGAUACAGCCCAGACUCAUACGGGAGGGAGGAGGGAGGAAUAUUGCACAAUGGACGGAAGCAUGAUGCAGCAACGCAGAGUGCAGGAUGAAGGAAUUCGGGUUGUAAACCGCUUUCGCCAGUGAAGAAGAGUGAGUGACGGUAAUGGGUAGAGAAGCACCGGCUAACUACGUG
rnacentral:rRNA from 1 species